UGAGUGCGAGCUUCUACGGAAGCGAAGUUGGUGACGUCAUGCUUCCAAGAAAAGCCCUAUACCCGUUAAGGCAUGAUUACCUGUACCCGAAACCGACACAGGUGGGGUGGUAGAGAAUACCGAGGGGCGCGAGGUAACUCUCUCUAAGGAACUCGGCAAAAUGACCCCGUAACUUCGGGAGAAGGGGUGCCAGCGCGAGCUGGUCGCAGUGAAUAGGCCCAGGCGACUGUUUACCAAAAACACAGGUCUCCGCUAAGUCGCAAGACGAUGUAUGGGGGCUGACGCCUGCCCAGUGCCGGAAGGUUAAAGAAGUUGGUCAGCGCAAGCGAAGCUAACGACUGAAGCCCCGGUGAACGGCGGCCGUAACAAUAACGGUCCUAAGGUAGCGAAAUUCCUUGUCGGGUAAGUUCCGACCCGCACGAAAGGCGUAACGAUCUGGGCGCUGUCUCGGAGAGAGGCUCGGCGAAAUAGAAUUGUCUGUGAAGAUGCGGACUACGUGCACCCGGACAGAAAGACCCUAUGAAGCUUUACUGUAGCUUGGUAUUGUGCUCGGGCUCGCAAUGCGCAGGAUAGGUGGGAGGCUUUGAUCCAUUGCUUGUGGGUGAUGGUGAGCCAAUGGUGAGAUACCACUCUUUGCGAGCUAGGGUUCUAACGGUCACCCGUCAUCCGGGGACCGGACAGUAUCUGGUGGGCAGUUUGACUGGGGCGGUCGCCUCCUAAAAGGUAACGGAGGCGCGCAAAGGUUUGCUCAGGCUGGUUGGAAAUCAGCCGACGAGUGUAAAAGCAGAAGCAAGCUUGACUGUGAGACCUACAAGUCGAACAGGGAGGAAACUCGGCUUUAGUGAUCCGACGGUUCUGAGUGGAAGGGCCGUCGCUCAACGGAUAAAAGUUACUCUAGGAUAACAGGCUGAUCUCCCCCAAGAGUUCACAUCGACGGGGAGGUUUGGCACCUCGAUGUCGGCUCAUCGCAACCUGGGGCUGAAGUCGGUCCCAAGGGUUGGGCUGUUCGCCCAUUAAAGCGGUACGCGAGCUGGGUUCAGAACGUCGUGAGACAGUUCGGUCCAUAUCCGGUGCAUGCGCAGGAAUAUUGAGAGGAUUUCUCCCUAGUACGAGAGGACCGGGAGGAACGCACCUCUGGUGUACCAGUUAUCGUGCCAACGGUAAACGCUGGGUAGCCAUGUGCGGAGUGGAUAACCGCUGAAAGCAUCUAAGUGGGAAGCCCACCUCAAGAUGAGUAUUCCCAUGGCUUAAGCCAGUAAGGUCACGGGAAGAACACCCGUUGAUAGGCUCUAUGUGGAAGCGCAGUAAUGCGUGAAGCAGAGGAGUACUAAUAGACCGAGGGC
rnacentral:rRNA from 1 species